UACGUAGGCAGCGAGCGUUGUUCGGAGUUACUGGGCGUAAAGCGUGCGUAGGCGGUGUCUUAAGUUUGUUGUGAAAUCUCCCGGCUUAACCGGGGAACUGCAUCUGAUACUGGAUGGCUUGAGUUCGGGAGAGGGAUGCGGAAUUCCAGGUGUAGCGGUGAAAUGCGUAGAUAUCUGGAGGAACACCGGUGGCGAAGGCGGCAUCCUGGACCGACACUGACGCUGAGGAGCGAAAGCCAGGGGAGCAAACGGG
rnacentral:rRNA from 1 species